GAUAAGAUAGGAUAAGGUAGUCUGAGAGGUUCAUAUCCUUUAGGUGUUUUUCUCUUGUUG
rnacentral:tRNA from 1 species